rnacentral:rRNA from 1 species
CCGACGAUGUUCUCGAACAGACUUCCCUCUCGGGGGUGGGGGGAGAGAGGGGUCAAACUCUUUCUCUCUCUCUCUCUCUCGAAGACCGAUCGGCGACGCUAUAGCUUUGGGUACUUUCAGGACCCGUCUUGAAACACGGACCAAGGAGUCUAGCAUGUACGCGAGUCAUUGGGAUUUUUACUAAACCUAAAGGCGCAAUGAAAGUGAAGGUUUUCCUCGCGAAGACCGUGGGAAGACGGACGGGUGUUGGUUAAAGGUACGAGGUACACCGACUCGAUCGCCCGUCCCGCAUUCCCGGGGCGUCUCGUUCGCAUCGCGCGAAGAGGCGCACCGCGAGCGUACACGCUGGGACCCGAAAGAUGGUGAACUAUGCCUGGUCAGGACGAAGUCAGGGGAAACCCUGAUGGAGGUCCGUAGCGAUUCU